AGAAUAAAAUGUCAAAAAUAUCUCCUGACAAAGGGCAGCCCGCCGAUGGCGAUCGUCCACCGCGGCGCCGCCCACCUCCACCGAUCUCUCUCUCUCUCCCCCUCUCUCUUCACCCCGGGACCCAAACCCUAACCCUAGCCCCACAACCCCCGUCGUCGGAAUUUGAUAGUUGAGGUACAUCAAUCACUUCAAUGGGGAGCUUGGGAUGGGUCAGCGUGGUUUCAAUUUUAUUUAAUCAGGGCCGGCUUUGGAGGAGUGCAGAGUGAUCGACCGCACCGGGCCCCCAAAAAUUAGGGGCCCCAAUUUUUUUUAUAUUUAUAUAUAAGAGAAAUAAAUCUAAAUGGACGUGGACCAUCCAUUUCACAACUCAGCUUAAUCUCAACCCUCCAUUCAAAAACCCCUCCAUUCAAAAACCCCUCCUUCAAAAACCCUACCCAUCUUCACUGAAUCACAUCUCAAACCAGAUCUGCUAGCCCCCAUCCCCCUCCUCCUCUCCCCCGUCGUACUCUGCAGUCCGCCCUCGAGUCCUCGACACGCUCACUCGCUCAGCCAGGGCCUCGCGGCGUCGCCCUCGCCAUCACCGCCCGUUGUCCCACCGCCCCCGAAAUCGUCGACUUUGGAGCUCGCCAGUCGCCGCCCCCGCUCAGCAGUCGGAGCUUGCCAGUCGCCGCCCUCAAAAUCUUCGCUGUCGAGCUCGCCAGCAAAACAAUUCCUCUCCAACUUUGAGUCAUUUCUUCGGGUCUAUUUGAAUCUUCAAUCUCGUGCAGCAGAAAAAUUGGGCGGUAAAAAGAAUGCUAUUUGACCUUGCUAAGGAUGGAGUGCUCUUAUGGCUUUGGAUAAAAUUCGUUACGAGAGCUUGACGGAUAAGAGCAAGCUCGAUACUCAGCUGGAGCUGUUUAUUAGGUUGUAUUGUUCCGAAUCUUUUGACUUCUUUCAAUUUGAUUGUAAUAUUUUUUUUUAUUAUAGAAAUGCCACCAAGAAAAUAUCCUUCUGGAUAUGAUAAACGCAAAAAAAAAAAAUGAACAAUUUGUCCAAACUCAAAGUGGAGCGCUUGAUAAAUUUAUUGUUAGAGAAACACAAGAUUUAGUUAAAAAUUCAAUUGAAAUGAUAACAUUAAUGAUUUGUGCAUGAAUGAGUAUGAGAAUGAAAAUGUUGAUGAUCAAAGUAAAAAUAAAAAUGAGAAUGAAAAUGAGAAUCAGAAUAUAAAUGAGAAUCAUAAUGAAAAUGAAAAUAAUAAUGAAAAUGAGAAUCGGAAUGAAAAUAAAAAUGAAAGUAAAAUUGAGAAUCAGAAUCAGAAUGAAAUUGAUAUUGACAAUGAGAAUGACAAUAUUUUAGGUAAUGAACAACCUAAUCAGUCCAUGCUCAUGAAUUUGAAUAUUUAUGAUCCAAGAAUUUGGGAUAGCUUGGACACAAAAUCUAGAGAUAUAUUAGUGGAAAAUGGUCCUAUAAGAGAUCUAAAGGCUUAAUUAGUGAUUUUGCAGCUAAAAAUACAAGGAGGAUAAUUUUUCGAUGAUACUUUUUGAUGCUAAAGGCUUCGAUAUCUGAUGAAGGUGACCGAAGAGAUGAAGAAUGGGCAAUAGCACUUGAAAAGUAUGUUAAAGAUUAUUCAGAUGCAAAAAAAUCAGGUUCUCUUCCAACUUGGGGACGAUAUGCGUUACUAUCUGUAUGCGGGUUUUCCUCCCCAAUAGCAUACUGUGGUAGUUGUCAUAAUUUUUGCGGAGGACAAAAUCAGAGGGAAGGAACCAGAGAGACCUUUCAGUUUGAUUAUCGGGAACUAUCAGAGUGUGUAGCAUUGCGAAUGCUCCAUUUACCGCAUUAGAUGUUACGCUUUGAAUUCAAACUAAGCCUCCAGUAUUUUUGGAUUUUGAUGUGUCAGGCUAUGAAGUGUCCAGGAUUGAGAUGAGGUGAGAGUACCAAAUACGUAGCCCAUGAUAUCUCUAUAUCUGAUUAAUCUGUUGCCAUCGAUGACCUGGAAUUCAGCCAAGAGCCACUUUGCAUAGAAGGCGAAGGCCCCCACAACUGCAAGCCCAGUGAGGCCCCAGGCCCAGCCUAAUGGCGCCAACAUCAGAUUUGAGAAGCUGAGCACAUAUGCACAGUUAAAACCAGUGACCAUCAGUAAUCCAACUUGUUGCCAUGAGUCUGCAACAAUAAAGAUCACUUGAAGCCAGAUGGAGGAUCAUGGGUACUAACUAGCUAGACUACAAACUCUAUAUUUCAGUCUUCUUCUAUACUUCAAAACUAAAAUCGAAAAAAAAAUAUGGCGUCCUUUCUCUUGAAUUGCUAUCGAAAUUUGCGAGUCAUCGAGUACCCUAUACUUUUAUUUACUGUAGUACAUAGUAGUUUGAACUUCGGAGUA